GAUGAACGCUGGCGGCGUGCCUAAUACAUGCAAGUCGAGCGAAUGGAUUAAGAGCUUGCUCUUAUGAAGUUAGCGGCGGACGGGUGAGUAACACGUGGGUAACCUGCCCAUAAGACUGGGAUAACUCCGGGAAACCGGGGCUAAUACCGGAUAACAUUUUGAACCGCAUGGUUCGAAAUUGAAAGGCGGCUUCGGCUGUCACUUAUGGAUGGACCCGCGUGGCAUUAGCUAGUUGGUGAGGUAACGGCUCACCAAGGCGACGAUGCGUAGCCGACCUGAGGGGGUGAUCGGCCACACUGGGACUGAGACACGGCCCAGACUCCUACGGGAGGCAGCAGUAGGGAGUCUUCCGCAAUGGACGAAAGUCUGACGGAGCAACGCCGCGUGAGUGAUGAAGGCUUUCGGGUCGUAAAACUCUGUUGUUAGGGAAGAACAAGUGCUAGUUGAAUAAGCUGACACCUUGACGGUACCUAACCAGAAAGCCACGGCUAACUACGUGCCAGCCGCCGCGGUAA
rnacentral:rRNA from 1 species